GACGACGGCCUUCGGGUUGUAAACCUCUUUUAGCAGGGAGAAGCGAAAGUGACGGUACCUGCAGNAAAAGCGCCGGCUAACUACGUGCCAGCAGCCGCGGUAAUACGUAGGGCGCAAGCGUUAUCCGGAAUUAUUGGGCGUAAAGAGCUCGUAGGCGGUUUGUCGCGUCUGCUGUGAAAUCCCGAGGCUCAACCUCGGGUCUGCAGUGGGUACGGGCAGACUAGAGUGCGGUAGGGGAGAUUGGAAUUCCUGGUGUAGCGGUGGAAUGCGCAGAUAUCAGGAGGAACACCGAUGGCGAAGGCAGAUCUCUGGGCCGUAACUGACGCUGAGGAGCGAAAGGGUGGGGAGCAAACAGGCUUAGAUACCCUGGUAGUCCACCCCGUAAACGUUGGGAACUAGUUGUGGGGUCCAUUCCACGGAUUCCGUGACGCAGCUAACGCAUUAAGUUCCCCGCCUGGGGAGUACGGCCGCAAGGCUAAAACUCAAAGGAAUUGACGGGGACCCGCACAAGCGGCGGAGCAUGCGGAUUAAUUCGAUGCAACGCGAAGAACCUUACCAAGGCUUGACAUAUACGAGAACGGGCCAGAAAUGGUCAACUCUUUGGACACUCGUAAACAGGUGGUGCAUGGUUGUCGUCAGCUCGUGUCGUGAGAUGUUGGGUUAAGUCCCGCAACGAGCGCAACCCUCGUUCUAUGUUGCCAGCACGUAAUGGUGGGAACUCAUGGGAUACUGCCGGGGUCAACUCGGAGGAAGGUGGGGAUGACGUCAAAUCAUCAUGCCCCUUAUGUCUUGGGCUUCACGCAUGCUACAAUGGCCGGUACAAAGGGCUGCAAUACCGUAAGGUGGAGCGAAUCCCAAAAAGCCGGUCCCAGUUCGGAUUGAGGUCUGCAACUCGACCUCAUGAAGUCGGAGUCGCUAGUAAUCGCAGAUCAGCAACGCUGCGGUGAAUACGUUCCCGGGUCUUGUACACACCGCCCGUCAAGUCAUGAAAGUCGGUAACACCUGAAGCCGGUGGCCCAACCC
rnacentral:rRNA from 1 species